ACUGCUCAGUAACACGUGGACAACCUGCCCUUUAGGUUGGGUAUAAACCCGGGAAACUGGGUAUAAUACCCGAUAGGUCUCGAUUGCUGGAAUGCAUCGAGAUUUAAAGCUCCGGCGCCUAAGGAUGGGUCUGCGGCCUAUCAGGUAGUAGUGGGUGUAGCGUACCUACUAGCCUACGACGGGUACGGGUUGUGAGAGCAAGAGCCCGGAGAUGGAUUCUGAGACACGAAUCCAGGCCCUACGGGGUGCAGCAGGCGCGAAAACUUUACAAUGCUGGCAACAGCGAUAAGGGAACCUCGAGUGCCAGGUUACAAAUCUGGCUGUCGAGAUGCCUAAAAAGCAUUUCAUAGCAAGGGCCGGGCAAGACCGGUGCCAGCCGCCGCGGUAACACCGGCGGCUCGAGUGGUAACCGUUAUUAUUGGGUCUAAAGGGUCUGUAGCCGGCCGGAUAAGUCUCUUGAGAAAUCUGGCAGCUUAACUGUCAGGCUUUCAGGAGAUACUGUCUGGCUCGAGGCCGGGUGAGGUGAGAGGUACUUCAGGGGUAGGGGUGAAAUCUUGUAAUCCUUGAAGGACCACCAGUGGCGAAGGCGUCUCACCAGAACGGACCUGACGGCAAGGGACGAAAGCUAGGGGCACGAACCGGAUUAGAUACCCGGGUAGUCCUAGCCGUAAACGAUACUCGCUAGGUGUCGGCCACGGUGCGACCGUUGUCGGUGCCGUAGGGAAGCCGUGAAGCGAGCCACCUGGGAAGUACGGCCGCAAGGCUGAAACUUAAAGGAAUUGGCGGGGGAGCAC
rnacentral:rRNA from 1 species